UCUCGGCAAAUUAUCCUCAUAAGUUAGACGAUAUGAAGAACCAUUGAGUUAAUAAAGGUAAUAUCUUAAUAAAUAUUAUACUAUUAGCUCCGAUGGUGUCACAAAAUCGGAGGCCCCGACUGUUUACUUAAAACACAGCUUUCUGCGACGAUUAACAUCUUUGUAUAGAAAGCGAAUUUUGCCCAAUGCCAUUAAUAUAAAAUUGAUAAGCGCUUAGCGUAUUUAUUAAUUGAAGUUCUGGUCAAUGGCGGUCUUAUCUAUGAGGAUCCUAAGGUAGCGAAAUUAAUUGUCCAUUAAAUGUGGUCCGGACUGAAUAAAGUAACGAUGGUCUCACUGUCUCUACAAGUAUCUCAGUGAAAUUGAAUUAGCCGGGCAGAUGCGGUUUAACUUCGGGUAGACGGGAAGACCCUAUGCAGCUUCUACUGA
rnacentral:rRNA from 1 species